rnacentral:rRNA from 1 species
UACGAAGGGUGCAAACGUUGCUCGGAAUUAUUGGGCGUAAAGCGCACGUAGGCGGCUUGGCAAGUCGGAUGUGAAAUCCCUCGGCUCAACCAAGGAAGUGCAUCCGAAACUGCUGAGCUUGAGUACUUAAGAGGAUCGCGGAAUUCCCGGUGUAGAGGUGAAAUUCGUAGAUAUCGGGAGGAACACCAGUGGCGAAGGCGGCGAUCUGGGAAGAUACUGACGCUGAUGCGCGAAAGCGUGGGUAGCAAACAGG